UUUUUAAUCAAGGUACCUUUAUUCAUGUGUACUGAACAAAAAUACUGUAUAAAUGCAACAUGCAAACAUUUUGAAGAUUGGACUGAGUUACAGUUCAUAUAAGGAAAUCAGUCCAUUUUAAUAAAUUCAUUAGGCCCUAAUCUAUAGAUCUCACAUGACUGGGCAUGGGUGCAGCCGUGGGUGGGCCUUGGAGUGCAUAGGCACACCCACUUGGCAGCCAGGCCCAGCCAAUCAGAAUGAAUUUUUCUCCACAAAUGGGAUUUAUUACAGACAGAAAUACUCCUCAGCCUCCCACCCACCCUCAGACCAUUCUGCAGGUGAAGAAGCCGGAUGUGGAGGUCCUGGGCUCGUGGUCUGUGGUUGUGAGGCCGGUUGGACAGUCUGUCAAAUUCUCUAAAGCAACAUUGGAGGCGGCUUAUGGUAGAGAAAUUAACAUUAAAUUAUCUGGCAACAGCUCUGGUGGACAUUAUUGCAAUCAGCAUGCCAAUUGAAUGCUCCCUCAAAACUUGAGACAUCUGUGGCAUUGUGCUGUGUGACAAAACUACACAUUUUAUAGUGGCCUUUUAUUGUCCCCAGCACAAGGUGCACCUGUGUAAUGAUCAUGAUGUUUAAUAAUCAUCUUGAUAUGCCACACCUGUCAGGUGGAUGGAAAAUCUUGGCAAAGGAGUAAUGCUCACUAACAGGGAUGUAAACAAAUGUGUGCACAAAAUGUGAGAGAAAUAAGCUUUUUGUGCAUAAUGGAACAUUUCUGGGAUUUUUUUAUUUCAGCUCAUGAAACACUUUACAUGUUGUGUUUAUAUUUUUGUUCACUGUCGUUUACUCCUUUCUGUUUCCCUAUGACAGUGUAGAAGUAGUACCGCAACCUGUCCAAUAGAUAGUACGGUGGAGGCCUGUUCAAAGCACUGAAAAUCUGGAUUCUGUGAUAUUGUGGUAGCUGGAUCAGAAUGAUCCUAUUAUUUUCUGAAAAAACAGCUCAAAAACGGACAGAUUGAUAUAAUCCCGAUAGAAAAAAAGAGGAUUAUAGAAUCCGUCUCUGACCCCCCUUUUGAAACCUGACCCACACACAUACAUGUAACUGCCAAAAUAAUGGAAGCACUUGAGUAAAUGAGGGAUACAAAGUAAAUUGAAAGCAGGUGCUUCCACACAGGUGUGGUUUCUGAGAUAAUUAAGCAAUUAACGUUCCAUUGUGGUUAGGGUUAUGUAUAAAAAUGGUCGGCAGGCUACCAUGGCUAAGCCCCAUAGGAUGGAUGACAAUGCCCCCAUCCACAUGCCACAAGUGGUCACUGAAUGGUUUGAUGAGCAUGAAAAUGAUGUAAACCAUAUGUCAUGACCGUCUCAGUCACCAGAUCUCCACCCAAUUUAACACUUAGGCCCAUGGGAGAUUCUGGAGCCAAGCCUAAAACAGUGUUUCCCACCACCAAUUCAAUUCAAUGGGCUUUAUUGGCAUAGGAAACGUGUUAACAUUGCCAAAGCAAGUGAGGUAGAUAAUAUACAAAAGUGAAAUAAACAAUAAAAAUUAACAGUAAACAGUAAAUUGUUUCAAAACAAUAAAGACAUUACAAAUGUCAUUACGUAUAUACAGUGUUGCAACGAUGUACAAAUGGUUAAGUGUACACAAAGGAAAAUAAAUAAGCAUAAAUAUGGGUUGUAUUUACAAUGGUGUUUGUUCUUCACUGGUUGCCCUUGUGGCAACAGGUCACAAAUCUUGCUGCUGUGAUGGCACACUGUGGAAUUUCACCCAGUAGAUAUGGGAGUUUAUCAAAAUUUGUUUUUUUUCGAAUUCUUUGUAGAUCUGUGUAAUCUGAGGGAAAUAUGUGUCUCUAAUAUGGUCAUACAUUGGACAGGAGGUUAGGAAUUGCAGCUCAGUUUCCACCUCAUUUUGCAGGCAGUGUGCACAUAGCCUGUCUUCUCUUGAGAGCCAUGUCUGCCUAUGGCGGCCUUUCUCAAUGGCAAGGCUAUGCUCACUGAGUCUGUACACAGUCAAAGCUAUCAACAGAACACCAAAUUAUGGAAUUUCUCUUUGUAGAAUGGUGUCGCAUCCCUCCAAUAGAGUUCCAGACAUUUGUAGAAUCUAUGCCAAGGUGCAUUGAAGCUGUUCUGGUGGCUCGUGGUGGCCCAACGCCCUAUUAACACACUUUAUGUUGGUGUUUCUUUUAUUUUGGAAGUUACCUGUAUGUCGUAUUGAAUUGAAAUCAGCUGGGUGAUGAUUUUGUCUGGCGAUUAUAAUGUCUUGUUGGACAACUAUGCCAUAGUCUAGGUCUAUGUCUACGUUAUAACAUGCCGAUAUAGACGCAUAUGAAGACAAUUUGACUGGACUAGAGUGAGAAAAGGUGCAGAGCACGUGGUAGUAACUCCCUUGUCCGGGACAGUAGCUAUUAUUAGACUAUAAACUAAUCGGCCUACAUUUCCACAGAUUACGAAUUCGCUAUUUUGAAUAUAUCAGUAGACCCACAAUAUAAGUUAAAUAAAAUGUUCAAAUAUAUUGAUAGUUAAAAGUAUCUUCAACUGUGAAAUUUAAACGUAUAUAGAUUUAUUUGGUUGCCAAUAGACUGGCCUACAUGCGUACGUGAAUGAAUUUAAAACAAGGCUUCUACUGCUUUCUAGAACAGGAACACAGGCAUGGAACGAGGUUCAGCCCAGAACAGAGUCAAUGGAGAGGAGUCGUCGAUGGCCUAUGAUGCCUGGGCAGCGCAGGGACUAAGUCGGUCUAAGUCUCCUAGCUGUCAUAAGGUAUAAUAUAUAGGCCGAACUGAACUACCAAAACGGAAUAAAUGUUUAUAAGCCCUUUGAGGAUGUUAGGCCUAAAGGUAGGCUAGGUCUAUUGUCAACGUUAUAGUUCUUAAUUCAUCAUGCAACCUGACGGGAACUCUCCGUGGUCCUGAAUAGGCAUCACUACUGAGGAACUAAUAGGCAGAGUCCAUCUCAAUUUGUUACAGGCAUCCCUACUACGGGAUCUAUCUAGAGGUAGCUUUUUUAACAGAUAUGCCUAAUGUCUUGUGUUCCUCGAAUCGUUGGCACAUAUAACCUUUAUACCGGUAGGCCUAAUUCACAUAAACAUUUCUCUGAAACCUUUCCCCUUUCCCAAAAUCACCGACAAUGAAAUAAUACAUGCACCCUCAGCAUUUAUUUAUUGGUUAUAUUGUACACAACAUUCCAAGUGUAUGCUACCCAGGCCAAGCAUUGAAAAUAGUUUCAAAAACGUGACAUUUUUAUCUGAAUUGAUUACCUUAACAACCGCUUACCUGAGAGAUCUCGACAAUACUCUUUCAAUAAUUAAGAAACCUUCAAAUGAUAUGUAUCCUCUGAUUUAUCGGCUCCAUCAAACAUGAUUAUGCUAUAUAUGAUAUUCAGUCUAAAAAGGUACUCUUUUGUGAAUGGGAGGCCUGCUGCAAAUGUAUAAUAAAUUGUAUAUUUGAUGUUGUUUUGUAGGCUAUUGUUUUACAGCAAAACCUUUUUUAUAUAGGCUGCAUUUGAAUGGACUAGGCUACUAGCAUUUGUACAACCAAGCCAGUGAUGCAUUGUUAAUAUGGUUCCUAUAGGUGGCAUUGACUAGUUAACUCAUGACAAGGCGUAAUGACGGUGACCUGACCAUACAGGCCUCGGGAAGUCUAGAACAAUAUCUGUCAUUUUAAUUCACUUCAUUCAUUUGUUGUCAGUUGCGCUAUUUGUGUAAUAUUUGGGGACUUUGACAAGAAUUUCUAAACAAAAAAGUUGCCUAAACGAAUAGCAAUAUCUCAUGACAUGAAGGCUUAGCCUAUGGAUAGUUAUAGGCGACAUGAAAUGCAAGGCAACGUAAGAGACUCAGAAAUAGUACAAUUAAUCAGUUAUGGUCACUGUUGCCUGUCUUUGACAGCUCAUUUGUGGGCAUUUUUACCAGACGAAGCUUAAAAUAUAUUUGAUGAAAUGCUAUUUAUAGCUCUAGAUCCACACACAUGCUAACUUUGCAGGCUAACUAUUUAAAUGGGGAAUAUUUAUAUGCAGAGUAUAGUUGGAAACAUCUUUAGAGGGAACUAUUUUGUUAUUAUAAUUCAUGUCUCCGGCUUGUGACGCAGACUGCUGGAUAUGGCAGGAUGGCGCCUUUGCCACAUUGCGUUUCGAUUAGCCUAGAGGCUACUUGUUUCAGUUGGAAAAAUCGAUCUAUUUCAAUUAUACCAUGAGUUAUCUCGUUUGAAUAUAGGCCUAGCUGGUGUAUUGAGCAAUAGGCCUCCUUUAGUGGUGCCAUGGAAGCCAGAUAGCCUAGCCUUGAUAUUGUAAUUAUAUUUCUCUCUUUUAAAUGAUCGAAUUCAUAAUUCAGUCAAAAACCAUUAAAUCACCUAGACUCAAUUAGACCUAUUCCACUGUGCAAAAACGGGUUGAAUAAACGUUGUUUCCACGUCAUUUCAACAACAACAAAAACGUCAUCAACUUAAGAGAAUUUCGUAUUUUUUCUCACUUUUCCCCUAUUCAAUGACAAUGUGACAUUUUUUGUUGAUUUCACGUUGAAUUCAUGUUAGUUGACAACUCGACGUUGAAAGGACGUCUGUGCCCAGUGGGAUAUUUGAUAAUAUAAUUAUGAAGGUGGUUCUAGUAGCCUAGUUCUGAAUGUAUCCAAAAUAAGUGACAUUUUCAUGCAAUUUUGGAUAUUGCCCUCAUAUUUAUCCUACUAGUAUUUCAUUGAUUUCCGAUAUUCACAUGACAGCUGUGUGUUGAAAUAUACGCAUAGAAAUGGUUGCGGUUACAUCGAUGCUUCAUGACCACAGGGCCUUGCUUAGCCAAGGAACAGACCUGUUACGUUCAUUGAAAUAUACCUACUCAUUAUUUGACUGGAGGUCAGAUGAAAUAGGUCUGGUUUCUCAUUCAGUCUAGUAAUAAACUAAACGCAGAUCUGGUUUGGAUGUAGAUAUAAAAUCUAUGCAUUUUCUAAGAGCCAGAAGCCACCAAAACCACCCACUACUUUACGCAUUGCGCAUGCACUCAGAAGAGUGAACACGCACGCACACAUGCACACGCACACACACACCCUGUCAUCCAAAACACACCCUAUCAUCUCAACGCAAAUAUGAUAUUAAUGGUCAGUAUGAAUGUGAAAAGGUUUCGUUUCUGUCUUCAGCGCGUAAUGGGGGUAGAUUGAAUGCCUAUAUCAGUGAACACGAUGCUGUGUAGAUUCCUCUCUUGGCAUUCACCGCGUGCCUUAAUUGUAUGGACAUUAAAUCAAGGUCCGCUGUGAACACGCAGAGUGAUAACCCUUCCUGAUGACGCGCGCCCCAGCACGGAUACAAGCACUGGUCACCCCCCAUGGAUGCGAGCACUGCAAUGUCGAAUCCCUAACCCUAUUUGACACCCAACUCCGCGCGCACCCAAAGGAGCAACCCAAGACACGAGCUCUCAAAGAGGACAUGCAAAACUUGGACUGAGAUCAUAGCGCGCCAAACACUCGGAUAUGUACGCACGCACAAACACACACCGACCACUGUAAAAAUGAUGCAUGUUUCUGACCAAACUAAAUACACAGGCUAUGUGAUUGAAAUCUUACGCAAUAAUCAGUGCUAUCAUAUUCUGCGUUUAAACGCACCAUCAUCACAUAGCACUAUAGCAUGUAUAUGCACACACUAACAAAGUCAAAAGCGAAACACCGACUCUUUACACUGCUGCAGACUGGAUAGUGCUAUUCGUCUGUCAUAAAACGUAAUAGCUCAAUGACAUUUUAGCCUAUGCUCUAGUUUUCUAUGCAGCUGUGCGCCAUACGUCGAAGGGUGUCCAUGUUCAAAACAACAUUUCUUUGUCUAUCAAAAAACAAACAAAAACAAAACGCAUGUUCUCAAAGCAGCCCAUGGCUUGUCCUCAUUGAGAAACACAAUCGGAUGGUCUUUCACAGAGUAGCUAUUUGGUUCAAAUUAUAUACAUCCCAUUGUGCUGAGUAGGAAAUAGGAAUGCGCUCCGAAGCAUAGCUGAGAUGCAGUUCCUCCACUUGUCCGUUACAAACGCCCUCCGCUGAAACGGUGGAUGGCUCUUCCCUCGCAUUCUGUUGACAGGCUAUAUCAGGCCUGUAUGAUUACAUAUGUCUCUUAAAGCAUUUUGACCGCAUGAGUAAAAUCGCUAUCCCCUAUUUGACAAUCUUGGAUAACAAGAAAGCUAUUUUCUUCACGUCUCUGAAAAUUCCUAGAUGUAUUUUCUUCUUCAUUAAAAAAUAAAUAAAAAUACAAUGGAACCCCUUGCGCUCCAUCGGUGUCUUCUCUCCCCGGUAAGUCGCGCACUCCGUCGGUGUAUGUAAAGGACUGGAACCCGUUCUCUCUCUGUCUGUUCCCUUUUCCUCUGGCGGUUCCUCCGCACUGCACGGAAACACUGGAUGCAAGCGUCUGUCUCUCUCGCGGGCUCUCUGAUCCACCACUCUCGUGGAUUAGAGCGCGCCUCUGCUUUCCCAUCCCAGACAAUCGC
ensembl:lncRNA